rnacentral:rRNA from 1 species
UACGAAGGGUGCAAGCGUUAAUCGGAAUUACUGGGCGUAAAGGGCGCGUAGGCGGCCUUGAUAGUUGGGCGUGAAAGGCCUGGGCUUAACCCAGGAACUGCGUUCAAUACUGCGAGGCUAGAGUGUGGGAGAGGUUGGUGGAAUUCCCAGUGUAGAGGUGAAAUUCGUAGAUAUUGGGAAGAACACCGGUGGCGAAGGCGGCCAACUGGACCACAACUGACGCUGAGGCGCGAAAGCGUGGGGAGCAAACAGG